rnacentral:rRNA from 1 species
UCCAAGGAAGGCAGCAGGCGCGCAAAUUACCCAAUCCCGAUACGGGGAGGUAGUGACAAUAAAUACUGAUACGGGGCUCUUUUGGGUCUCGUAAUUGGAAUGAGAACAAUUUAAAUCCCUUAACGAGGAACAAUUGGAGGGCAAGUCUGGUGCCAGCAGCCGCGGUAAUUCCAGCUCCAAUAGCGUAUAUUAAAGUUGUUGCAGUUAAAAAGCUCGUAGUUGAACCUUGGGUCUGGCUGGCCGGUCCGCCUCACCGCGAGUACUGGUCCGGCUGGACCUUUCCUUCUGGGGAACCUCAUGGCCUUCACUGGCUGUGGGGGGAACCAGGACUUUUACUGUGAAAAAAUUAGAGUGUUCAAAGCAGGCCUUUGCUCGAAUACAUUAGCAUGGAAUAAUAGAAUAGGACGUGCGGUUCUAUUUUGUUGGUUUCUAGGACCGCCGUAAUGAUUAAUAGGGAUAGUCGGGGGCGUCAGUAUUCAGCUGUCAGAGGUGAAAUUCUUGGAUUUGCUGAAGACUAACUACUGCGAAAGCAUUCGCCAAGGAUGUUUUCAUUAAUCAGGGAACGAAAGUUAGGGGAUCGAAGACGAUCAGAUACCGUCGUAGUCUUAACCAUAAACUAUGCCGACUAGGGAUCGGACGGGCUUCUAUGAUGACCCGUUCGGCACCUUACGAGAA